rnacentral:rRNA from 1 species
CCUACGGGGGGCAGCAGUGAGGAAUAUUGGUCAAUGGACGAGAGUCUGAACCAGCCAAGUAGUGUGAAGGAUGACUGCCCUAUGGGUUGUAAACUUCUUUUAUAUGGGAAUAAAAUGUUCCACGUGUGGGAUUUUGUAUGUACCAUAUGAAUAAGGAUCGGCUAACUCCGUGCCAGCAGCCGCGGUAAUACGGAGGAUCCGAGCGUUAUCCGGAUUUAUUGGGUUUAAAGGGAGCGUAGGUGGAUUGUUAAGUCAGUUGUGAAAGUUUGCGGCUCAACCGUAAAAUUGCAGUUGAAACUGGCAGUCUUGAGUACAGUAGAGGUGGGCGGAAUGCGUGGUGUAGCGGUGAAAUGCUUAGAUAUCACGAAGAACUCCGAUUGCGAAGGCAGUUCACUGGACUGCAACUGACACUGAGGCUCGAAAGUGUGGGUAUCAAACAGGAUUAGAUACCCUGGUAGUC